AUGGCAUGGGAAAGGCAGCCAUACAGCGCUCGUGAUCCAUCAACAGUGCUAGGUGCCUUAGUGCGCCAGAUGUAUCCACCGCCAAUUGGUCCAAAAAAUGAUCAGAAACCGGUAUUGUGUUGGGAGGACUACAAGUGGUCCCCUGGUCCAGAAGUAAGAACAACAGCUUCCAAAAUAGUGGAAGAAUUUUGGUGGCGUUUCAAGUGCGACCCAUCGGAGCAAGAGAAGUCAGAUGGUGUUUUGGAGGAGAACUUAACUAGGAAAGUGAAGCAGAUGCUACAUGAGGAAAAGGCGGCAGCCAUCAAAAGAUUAAAGAAGAAGGGACAAUUGCCUACAGAACUAACAGAAGAGGAUGAGGAUGGUAACCGCUGGACAACUAAGGAAGCUUUAAUUUCUGCAAAGAGAGUUGACUUUGGUACAGACGUUGGUUGGCAUCUACUAUUGGUGCUAGAAAUGUUGUCGCCACGCGUCAAUUUCUGA
rnacentral:rRNA from 1 species